GAGUGCCACGGCAUCAGCUCAAUUUGAAAGCUGGCUCCUUCGGGGUCGGCAUUGUAAUUUGAAUAGGAUGCUUCGGGAGCGGUCCCCAUCUAAGUGCCCUGGACAGGGACGUCAUAGAGGGUGAGAAUCCCGUAUGGGAUGGGGUGUCCGCGCCCGUGUGAAGCUCCUUCGACGAGUCGAGUUGUUUGGGAAUGCAGCUCUAAAUGGGUGGUAAAUUUCAUCUAAAGCUAAAUAUUGGCCGGAGACCGAUAGCGCACAAGUAGAGUGAUCGAAAGAUGAAAAGCACUUUGAAAAGAGAGUUAAAAAGCACGUGAAAUUGUUGAAAGGGAAGCGCUUGCGACCAGACUCGCUCGCGGGGUUCAGCCGGCAUUCGUGCCGGUGUACUUCCCCGCGAGCGGGCCAGCGUCGGUUUGGGCGGUCGGUCAAAGGCCUCUGGAAGGUAACGCCCCUUCGGGGGCCUCAUAUCCGAGGGGGCGCUGUGACGUGUGCCCAGAGAGAAGAACGCUUUUGGUCUCACACUGGGGUAUUGUGGUCAUACGAGACCCCUCGUGACAACAGAGCACA
rnacentral:rRNA from 1 species